CAGCUAUGUUCAUCAUUAAUUAUUCUUUUUUCCUCUUAGGAGUAUGAAAAGAGAGGAAGACAGCUGCUGGACAUGGAAACUUUUAAAUGCAUAAUGCAGCAGAGUAUGAGGUCACAAAAUAAAAAUACUGAACAAAUAGAACAACUUUUCAUGAAAAUAUACUAUGAAUCAAUGGGCAGAAUUCAAUGGGUAUACUGCUGAGAUUCUAAAUGAGGCAUGUAUCCUGGUGGGUGAGAACUGUGCAGUCUGACCAAUAAGGACUCAGGCCAGCCACUUGCUAGUUUUUUGAUCUUAGGCAAGCAAUGCAAUCUUUCAAAACUUGGAUUUUCAAACUUGUUAAAGGGAAG
rnacentral:lncRNA from 1 species